rnacentral:rRNA from 1 species
ACACGGUCCAGACACCUACGGGUGGCAGCAGUCGAGAAUCAUUCGCAAUGGGGGAAACCCUGACGAUGCGACGCCGCGUGGAGGAUGAAGGCCUUAGGGUUGUAAACUCCUGUCAAGAGGGAAUAAGCAAGUGAAGGUACCUCUAGAGGAAGGGGCCGGCUAAUUCCGUGCCAGCAGCCGCGGUAACACGGAAGCCCCGAGCGUUGUUCGGAUUCAUUGGGCGUAAAGGGUGCGUAGGCGGCGCGGAAAGUCCGGCGUGAAAGGCAGGGGCUCAACCUCUGGACUGCGUUGGAUACUUCCGUGCUUGAGGACUGGAGGGGAGACUGGAAUUCACGGUGUAGCAGUGAAAUGCGUAGAUAUCGUGAGGAAGACCGGUGGCGAAGGCGAGUCUCUGGACAGAUCCUGACGCUGAGGCACGAAGGCUGGGGGAGCGAACAGGAUUAGAUACCCUGGUAGUCCCAGCAGUAAACGAUGUGAGCUUGAUGUGGGGGGAUUCGACCCCUUCCGUGUCGAAGCUAACGCGAUAAGCUCACCGCCUGAGGAGUACGGCCGCAAGGCUAAAACUCAAAGAAAUUGACGGGGACCCGCACAAGCGGUGGAGUAUGUGGCUUAAUUCGAUGCAACGCGAAGAACCUUACCUGGCCUUGACAUGCAUUGUGUCGUCGGUGAAAGCCGGCUAGUCCUGGAAACAGGACGCUUUGCACAGGUGCUGCAUGGCUGUCGUCAGUUCGUGUCGUGAGAUGUUGGGUUAAGUCCCGCAACGAGCGCAACCCUUGUGGUCAGUUACUAACCGGCUUAGCCGGAGGACUCUGGCCAGACUGCCCUGUCAAACGGGGAGGAAGGUGGGGACGACGUCAAGUCAGUAUGGCCCUUAUGGCCAGGGCUGCACACGUACUACAAUGCCCGGUACAAUGUGAACCGAAACCGCGAGGUGGAGGAAAUCGCUCUUGAAAACCGGGCCCAGUUCGGAUUGGAGUCUGCAACUCGACUCCAUGAAGUCGGAAUCGCUAGUAAUGGCGUAUCAGCAACGACGCCGUGAAUACGUUCCCGGGUCUUGUACACACCGCCCGUCACAUCAUGGAAGUCUCCUUACCCGAAGCACGUGCGCCAACAUUUCAGGAGGCAGCGUUCGAAGGUAUGGGAGUAACUGGGA